rnacentral:rRNA from 1 species
GACCCAGGUAACCGAUUGAAAUGCUUCGUCCAUGGCGACAAGACAGUCAGUGGACCAAGGGAAACCAAUAAAGGCAUUCCACCUGGGGAGUACGCCCGGCAACGGUGAAACUCAAAGGGAAUUGACGGGGGCCCGCACAAGCGGAGGAACAUGUGGUUUAAUUCGAUGAUACGCGAGGAACCUUUACCCGGGCUUGAAUUGCAGAUGAAGGAUACAGAGAUGUUGACGCCCUUCGGGGCAUCUGUGAAGGUGCUGCAUGGUUGUCGUCAGCUCGUGCCGUGAGGUGUCGGCUUAAGUGCCAUAACGAGCGCAACCCUUGCUGUCAGUUGCCAUCAGGUAGAGCUGGGCACUCUGGCGGGACUGCCAUCGCAAGAUGUGAGGAAGGUGGGGAUGACGUCAAAUCAGCACGGCCCUUACGUCCGGGGCUACACACGUGUUACAAUGGGGGGUACAGAAUGUUGCUUACGGGUGACCGUUGGCGGAUCAUUAAAUCCCCUCUCAGUUCGGACUGGAGUCUGCAACCCGACUCCACGAAGCUGGAUUCGCUAGUAAUCGCGCAUCAGCCAUGGCGCGGUGAAUACGUUCCCGGGCCUUGUACACACCGCCCGUCAAGCCAUGAAAGCCGGGGGCGCCUGAAGUCCGUUACCGCAAGGAUCGGCCUAGGGCGAAACUGGUAAUUGGGGCUAAGUCGUAACAAGGUAACCGUA